ACAACAACAACAGCUCUUUCAAGAAGACCACAUUAGAAGUUGGAUGAUUCGUUUACAUUCGGCUGAAGCUGAGUAUGGUGCUCUCCUUGGAGACCGGGUGGAGAGCCCUGGCCUCAGCCCCCUCCUCUGGGCAUCUCCCUGGUGGAGGAGCCCUGCUGGCUUGGUGGACAGUCUAGAGAGAUGGGAAGAUAACAGACAAGACUAUCUGAAUAACAACACUGAUGUCCUUCCUCUUCCUACCUGGAGAGGUGAAGAAACCUGUGUACCAUAAACAACAGCAUCACUGCUGUCAAUGUAAGGGACUUCAUUAACAUGGGAAACAUAUGUUUACAUUGCCAAAGCAAGUGAAAGAUACAAUUAAAAUAAACCUUUUUUUUACAUCACACUCACAAUAGUUCCAAAAUGAUAAAGACAUUUCAAAAGUCAUUAUGUCUAUAUACAGUGUUGUAAUGUUGUGCAAAUAGUUCAAGUACAAAAGGGAAAAUAAAUAAACAUAAAUAUGGGUUGUAUAUAC